CUGGCGGCGUGCCUAAUACAUGCAAGUAGAACGCUGAAGAGAGGAGCUUGCUCUUCUUGGAUGAGUUGCGAACGGGUGAGUAACGCGUAGGUAACCUGCCUGGUAGCGGGGGAUAACUAUUGGAAACGAUAGCUAAUACCGCAUAAAAUUGAUUAUUGCAUGAUAAUUAAUUGAAAGAUGCAAUUGCAUCACUACCAGAUGGACCUGCGUUGUAUUAGCUAGUUGGUGAGGUAACGGCUCACCAAGGCGACGAUACAUAGCCGACCUGAGAGGGUGAUCGGCCACACUGGGGCUGAGACACGGCCCAGACUCCUACGGGAGGCAGCAGUAGGGAAUCUUCGGCAAUGGGGGGAACCCUGACCGAGCAACGCCGCGUGAGUGAAGAAGGUUUUCGGAUCGUAAAGCUCUGUUGUAAGAGAAGAACGGGUGUGAGAGUGGAAAGUUCACACUGUGACGGUAUCUUACCAGAAAGGGACGGCUAACUACAUGCCAGCAGCCGCGGUAAUACGUAGGUCCCGAGCGUUGUCCGGAUUUAUUGGGCGUAAAGCGAGCGCAGGCGGUUAGAUAAGUCUGAAGUUAAAGGCUGUGGCUUAACCAUAGUAUGCUUUGGAAACUGUUUAACUUGAGUGCAGAAGGGGAGAGUGGAAUUCCAUGUGUAGCGGUGAAAUGCGUAGAUAUAUGGAGGAACACCGGUGGCGAAAGCGGCUCUCUGGUCUGUAACUGACGCUGAGGCUCGAAAGCGUGGGGAGCAAACAGGAUUAGAUACCCUGGUAGUCCACGCCGUAAACGAUGAGUGCUAGGUGUUAGGCCCUUUCCGGGGCUUAGUGCCGCAGCUAACGCAUUAAGCACUCCGCCUGGGGAGUACGACCGCAAGGUUGAAACUCAAAGGAAUUGACGGGGGCCCGCACAAGCGGUGGAGCAUGUGGUUUAAUUCGAAGCAACGCGAAGAACCUUACCAGGUCUUGACAUCCCUCUGACCGCUCUAGAGAUAGAGUUUUCCUUCGGGACAGAGGUGACAGGUGGUGCAUGGUUGUCGUCAGCUCGUGUCGUGAGAUGUUGGGUUAAGUCCCGCAACGAGCGCAACCCCUAUUGUUAGUUGCCAUCAUUCAGUUGGGCACUCUAGCGAGACUGCCGGUAAUAAACCGGAGGAAGGUGGGGAUGACGUCAAAUCAUCAUGCCCCUUAUGACCUGGGCUACACACGUGCUACAAUGGCUGGUACAACGAGUCGCAAGCCGGUGACGGCAAGCUAAUCUCUGAAAGCCAGUCUCAGUUCGGAUUGUAGGCUGCAACUCGCCUACAUGAAGUCGGAAUCGCUAGUAAUCGCGGAUCAGCACGCCGCGGUGAAUACGUUCCCGGGCCUUGUACACACCGCCCGUCACACCACGAGAGUUUGCAACACCCGAAGUCGGUGAGGUAACCCUUACGGGAGCCAGCCGCCGAAGGUGGGGCAAAUGAUUGG
rnacentral:rRNA from 1 species